UCCAAUAGCAUAUUACAUGAAAUAUUCAUUGCAUCUCAUUUUGCACCCUGGUCCACUCACCAAAAAAGGGGCAGCCUACAGUGUUUUUGUAAAGAACGCAAUGAAGCAAAGUAGAAUCUUGUAUUAACUUGUAUCAAUCUUCUUUUUGCAGUACUUUUGCAUGCAGUAAUCUUGUUUGUGCCUUUGGAAGCAAGGAGAUCCAGACUGAAACAAAUGCAGCAAGGAAGAUAUUUACUACAUACAAACAUGUGCACUGCAGUUCUGUUGAGAGAGAUUAAGUCAGGUGCACAUUUGUUUCGGGAAUCUUAUGGGAAGUAGUGAAACUAUGAUUUGGCCCUGGAGGCGUCACCUAACAAUUGUGCUUGCCAGUGCAAUACAACAGUAUGGCUCUUGCUGAGAAUUUCAAUCUGAAGCUAACUGGUAUUGAUGUUGUGCAACAUCGAACGUUCAAAUCUUUAGAAUCAGUGGACAAAGUAGUUUCUUGUACAUACUAGAUCGGACAAUCCUUUUCUGUUGGAAGUAUAUUGUUGGAUCUUAGAUCAA